UACGUAGGGUGCGAGCGUUGUCCGGAAUUAUUGGGCGUAAAGAGCUCGUAGGCGGCCUGUCGCGUCGGAUGUGAAAGCCCGGGGCUUAACCCCGGGUCUGCAUUCGAUACGGGCAGGCUGGAGUGUGGUAGGGGAGAUCGGAAUUCCUGGUGUAGCGGUGAAAUGCGCAGAUAUCAGGAGGAACACCGGUGGCGAAGGCGGAUCUCUGGGCCAUUACUGACGCUGAGGAGCGAAAGCAUGGGGAGCGAACAGG
rnacentral:rRNA from 1 species